CCAACCUGAGGAGAGAGGGAUGAAAAUGGACAUUUACUAAGCACCUACUGAGUCCCAGCUGUUUGUCUCCCUCAGUUUCACAACUGCCCUUUUGUGGGUGGACGAAAUUAUCCCCAUUUUACAGGCGAUGAAACUGAGGCUGGAGGCAGCGAAGCCACUUUUCCAAUGCCUCCACACUUCAAAGCCCAGGUUCCUGUUAUCAUACACGUCUCAACAACAAGCAUCAAUUAAAUGCUGGGUGACGGAUACCUGGUUGUGAACACAGAUUUGUGUCUCGUGCCUGACUGUGAUGGACUGAAGAUGCCAGCUCCUCAGAGACCCAGCUCCUGCCCCUGCCUGGCCCCACUCCCAACACAGACAACCAACACCAGCCCCGAGGAACCCUGGGGAACAAGGGCCAGAGGAGGCUUCCUUCUCGGCACAACUGGCUCUGUUCUGUGCCCACUCCCAGGUUCCUCAGCUACAUAUGUCCAACUGUUUGAGACUUCGUGACCCAGCAGGGAGAGGCCCGAUGAAGGAUGACAGCUCUUGCCUUGUCCCUGUCACAUCCCUCUAUGCCUGGGAGCUGGCAGGCUCAGCGGAUUCCGGGGGACUCCUGCACAAAGGGAGGGUCAGACACCCUGUACCGGCCCUCAAACCACGGUCCCGGAGCUCCUACCGGCAUGUUUCUUCUGGGCAGAGGCUGCCUGGCCGUGGGACAGUCUUCCGGGCUCCGGGCCCCCCGCCGAUAGGAGCGAGUGCUCUCGGAGCUGCAAGGCAGGGAAAGGCCAACGUGACCUCAAGCCCAGCAAGCCCCUCAGAGUGGGGAGACAGGGCUCAGAUGAGGAAGCUGAGGUUCAAGAGAUGAACAGACAAACCCCACAGUCACAGAGGUGGUCCGAGGCAAGCCAGGAUUAGAAGGCACGUCUGUCUGCCAAGUCCACGCUUGUGACCCGUGCUCUCCGUCAGGGAAGAAGGAGGAAGUCCCACAGGAGGGGCGGUGGGGAAGGGGAGUC